rnacentral:rRNA from 1 species
CAUGCAAGUCGAGCGGACAGAUGGGAGCUUGCUCCCUGAUGUUAGCGGCGGACGGGUGAGUAACACGUGGGUAACCUGCCUGUAAGACUGGGAUAACUCCGGGAAACCGGGGCUAAUACCGGAUGCUUGUUUGAACCGCAGGUUCAGACAUAAAAGGUGGCUUCGGCUACCACUUACAGAUGGACCCGCGGCGCAUUAGCUAGUUGGUGAGGUAACGGCUCACCAAGGCGACGAUGCGUAGCCGACCUGAGAGGGUGAUCGGCCACACUGGGACUGAGACACGGCCCAGACUCCUACGGGAGGCAGCAGUAGGGAAUCUUCCGCAAUGGACGAAAGUCUGACGGAGCAACGCCGCGUGAGUGAUGAAGGUUUUCGGAUCGUAAAGCUCUGUUGUUAGGGAAGAACAAGUGCCGUUCAAAUAGGGCGGCACCUUGACGGUACCUAACCAGAAAGCCACGGCUAACUACGUGCCAGCAGCCGCGGUAAUACGUAGGUGGCAAGCGUUGUCCGGAAUUAUUGGGCGUAAAGGGCUCGCAGGCGGUUUCUUAAGUCUGAUGUGAAAGCCCCCGGCUCAACCGGGGAGGGUCAUUGGAAACUGGGGAACUUGAGUGCAGAAGAGGAGAGUGGAAUUCCACGUGU